AAGGUGAGGGCUCGGACAGAUUUUCCUUUGGACUGCAUAAUGAUCCAUUGACAGAAUUGUAUCCAAUUUUGUCCAGUGAAAUCAUCAGUUCUCAACCAUCGCAUUGUUUGAUAUCUCAACUGUGAAGCAAAGGAGCAAUGCAGAAAUAAAUGAUCUCUAGUUUCCAAUUCUUGCUGGCACAUACACACAUUCCGGAGAUGUUCAGCUUCCAUUUUAACAGCCUGUUUUUGGUGGGAAGUCGAUCCUGCGGUAGCAACCAUAAGCUGAAGAUAGCUUUAGGUCUAGCUGCAUUUUGCAUUACCAUAUUCUUCC
rnacentral:lncRNA from 1 species